UACGGAGGGUGCGAGCGUUGUCCGGAAUCAUUGGGCGUAAAGGGCGCGUAGGUGGCGGGACAAGCGUGCGGUGAAAGCUCGGGGCUCAACCCCGCGUCGGCCGUGCGAACUGUUUUGCUUGAGCACUGUAGAGGCAGGCGGAAUUCCGGGUGUAGCGGUGGAAUGCGUAGAGAGUCCGGAAGAACACCGGUGGCGAAGGCGGCCUGCUGGGCAGUAGCUGACACUGAGGCGCGACAGCGUGGGGAGCAAACAGG
rnacentral:rRNA from 1 species